rnacentral:rRNA from 1 species
UACGUAGGGCGCAAGCGUUAUCCGGAAUUAUUGGGCGUAAAGGGCGCGUAGGCGGCCACCGCAAGUCGACUGUGAAAUCUCCGGGCUUAACCCGGAAAGGUCAGCCGAUACUGCGGGGCUAGAGUGCAGAAGGGGCAACUGGAAUUCUCGGUGUAGCGGUGAAAUGCGCAGAUAUCAGGAGGAACACCGGUGGCGAAGGCGGGUCUCUGGGCCGAUAUCGACGCUGAGGAGCGAAAGCGUGGGGAGCGAACAGG